rnacentral:tRNA from 1 species
GAGUUGUUAGCUCAGUUGGUAGAGCAACGGACUCUUAAUCCGUGGGUCCAAGGUUCAAACCCUUGACAACUCA